UACGGGGGGAGCAAGGCGUUGUUCGGAUUUACUGGGCGUAAAGGGCGCGUAGGCGGCGUGACAAGUCACUUGUGAAAUCUCCGGGCUUAACCCGGAGCGGCCAAGUGAUACUGUCGUGCUAGAGUGCGGAAGGGGCUACUGGAAUUCUCGGUGUAGCGGUGAAAUGCGUAGAUAUCGGGAGGAACACCUGAGGCGAAGGCGGGCUACUGGGCCGAUACUGACGCUGAUGCGCGAAAGCCAGGGGAGCGAACGGGG
rnacentral:rRNA from 1 species